rnacentral:rRNA from 1 species
UCCAACAACUGACGUCUUAGACACCACUAGAUGUGAGACAACCAAGAAAGUAAGUCUCCCACGAUCUCGACGUGAAUUGAACGAUCGUAGUAGCGGAACAAGAAGGACCGUUGCUCACUCCUACCACUCGGUGUUGUGGUGUUCCAAGAUGUUUACCAAGAGUCUCCAAACUGCCGUAUUGUAGCGCGUCAGCUCGUUCAAAACCAGUUACAAAGUACCGAGUUAGUUGCUUACCACAAUUUUGUCUUUUAGAACUUUCGUUCCAUGAGAGUUAAGUAAGGAGAAAACAACGGCCACGAAUAUAGGAACACCUAUAUGUGUAAAUUAUACUGUAUACCACGUCUAGAAUUUACUAAGGAUGGAGCUCGAAGGUAGCUUGUGC